UGCUCCGGUGCCGCGGGCGGUCUCCCCAAGAAGAACUCCGGGGCUAAAGGACCCGACCCAACCCCACCCCUCCCUCCCGGCGCGCAAACUCACCCACGAGGGUGAAAUGCACCAACUGGGUUGGCAUGUCGGAUGGUUGUGCGCUUUAGGCUCAGCGCGACAGAACGACCGCCGCAGAAAUGCGACGGCCCCCGCCGGGAGUAGCGAGCUCCCAUUGGCGAGGGCCUGACCACCCAGGAAGAAAGCACCUUCCCG
rnacentral:ncRNA from 1 species